GACGAACGCUGGCGGCGUGCUUAACACAUGCAAGUCGAGCGGAAAGGCCCUUCGCUUUACUCGAGCGGCGAACGGGUGAGUAACACGUUAGUAACCUGCCCCAGACUUUGGGAUAACCCUCGGAAACGGGGGCUAAUACCGGAUACGACACAGCUUCGCUUGGGGUCUGUGUGGAAAGGUUUGCGGUUUGGGAUGGGCUCGCUGACUAUCAGCUUGUUGGUGGUGUGAUGGCCUACCAAGGCGACGACGGGUAGCCGGCCUGAGAGGGCGAACGGCCACAAUGGGACUGAGACACGGCCCAGACUCGUACGGGAGGCAGCAGUGGGGAAUAUUGCACAAUGGGCGGAAGCCUGAUGCAGCGACGUCGCGUGAGGGAUGACGGCCUUCGGGUUGUAAACCUCUUUCAGCAGGGACGAAGCGUAAGUGACGGUACCUGCAGAAGAAGCGCCGGCUAACUACGUG
rnacentral:rRNA from 1 species